rnacentral:lncRNA from 1 species
AUUCAGAUCAGUGGCUCUGAGUCAGCUGGAGCAGACCCUCCUUGCCCAUUACAGUCCUCUGUGGCCCUAGUAAACUGCACUUUGACCUCACUCUCAGACACUGCCGACCAGGUCGACCCAGGACCCCGUUCUGCGGCAGCCUGUCCUGCGAGAGCCUCUGGAAUGCAUUGUGGGUCAAAUCCAUCUGCGGUUUGCUCGUGGCCAUGGAUCUUAAAGUGUCUGUUUCUGGGACUGGCGAGACCCCUUCAGUUGAGUUCAUGAGCCAGAAAGAGAACUAUUAAAAGAUUUUGAUGCCCGGUUAAGUAUGGGAAUAAGUAAAUUGUUACUGAUUCUGAAGUGUUUAGCACCAGUAAUCAAUGCUGUAGGACACAGUACUUAGGGGUUGACAGAGGAUGAAUUCGCUCAGCCAGUUUAUUGCUCACAAUCACAGAUAACACGGUAUUCUCAGGUCUUCCAUGUCUCAGAAAAUGGUCAAACAAACUGGGCGUGGUGGCGCCCACCUGUGAUCCUAGCACUCAGACUCAGGAGGCUGAGGCAGGAGAAUUGCUGUGAGUUUGAGGCCAGCCUGAACUACAUAGGGAGACCCUGUCUCAAAAAAACAAAAACAGAACAAGGUAAAUAUAUUGGUUUAGAUUAAAGGUUGAAAUACUUUUUAAAAGAUUUAGGAACAUAAGCAAGACAGAAAAACCCCAAAUUUUCAGGGUAAUGAUUGAUACAUUUAACUAGAUUUAUUUUAAAAUUUUCUCUAGUGCAGAGCAUAUGGUAAGUUAAAAACAUGGUUUUCCCCCCACUGUAUGCUUACAACACCGAUCACCCCUAUGACUUCAGAAGGUGUAAGGGUGACCCCACCACCACCACCACCAAGCAAGCAGUUCUGAAGCAGGCCUCAGCUGGGCUCCUCAGAGGUGGGUCAGCAGGCACUGUCCACCUGGAGUGGUGUCAGACCCCCCUCUCACGUGGUCCCCAAGUCCCCUCUGACUGAGCAGCUGUAAAUUGGGGAUGCCGCAGCCCCUCUUCGGGUGCAGUUAAUUUGUUUGAGCAGCUUCUAGUGCUCAGGAACAGCUUUUCUGGCUUAUUAUAAAGGACACCACAAAGGACACCGAUGGCGAGGUGCAUGGGGCAGGCGCGGCGACCCAGAAGCCUUCCAGGCGCUGUGCUUUGGGCUUUAUGGAGACAUCGUUUUGUAGGCAUGAUGGGGGCUGGGUGGGAGUAAGAUUGGACCGAAAGGAUCUGGUCUUCUGACGCUAAUCUACUGAGUGAGGAAACCCAGCAAGAGCUUCUGUUUGGAUUUUCGUUAGCCUCUGUCUGCAGCCCUCCGCCCUCUGGGGUCAGGGGGUUGGGCCUCUGGAGUAGAUGAAAGGCUUGAAUACAUUUUUUAAUACUAUCACAGGCACAGUGGUGCACAUCUAUAAUCCCAGCACUCAGGAGGCUGAGGCAGGAGGAUUCCUUGGCAUUCAAGGCCAGUCUGGGCUACAUAGCAAGACCCC